rnacentral:rRNA from 1 species
AACGAACGCUGGCGGCAGGCUUAACACAUGCAAGUCGAACGCAUCGCAAGAUGAGUGGCAGACGUGUGAGUAACGCGUGGGAAUCUACCCAGUUCUACGGAACAACAGUUGGAAACGACUGCUAAUACCGUAUACGCCCUACGGGGGAAAGAUUUAUCGGAAUUGGAUGAGCCCGCGUAAGAUUAGCUAGUUGGUGGGGUAAUGGCCUACCAAGGCGACGAUCUUUAGCUGGUCUGAGAGGAUGAUCAGCCACACUGGGACUGAGACACGGCCCAGACUCCUACGGGAGGCAGCAGUGGGGAAUAUUGGACAAUGGGCGCAAGCCUGAUCCAGCCAUGCCGCGUGAGUGAUGAAGGCCUUAGGGUUGUAAAGCUCUUUCACCGAUGAAGAUAAUGACGGUAGUCGGAGAAGAAGCCCCGGCUAACUUCGUGCCAGCAGCCGCCGUAAUAC